UACGUAGGGGGCAAGCGUUGUCCGGAAUCAUUGGGCGUAAAGAGCGUGUAGGCGGCCCGAUAAGUCCGCCGUGAAAGUCCAGGGCUCAACCCUGGAAUGCCGGUGGAAACUGUCGGGCUGGAGUCCGGAAGAGGCGAGUGGAAUUCCUGGUGUAGCGGUGAAAUGCGCAGAUAUCAGGAGGAACACCAAUUGCGAAGGCAGCUCGCUGGGACGUAACUGACGCUGAGACGCGAAAGCGUGGGGAGCAAACAGG
rnacentral:rRNA from 1 species